GUGGGGAAUAUUGGACAAUGGGCGCAAGCCUGAUCCAGCCAUGCCGCGUGUGUGAAGAAGGCCUUCGGGUUGUAAAGCACUUUUGUUGGGGAAGAAAACCUGUUGGUUAAUACCCGAUGGGAAUGACGGUACCCAAAGAAUAAGCACCGGCUAACUUCGUGCCAGCAGCCGCGGUAAUACGAAGGGUGCAAGCGUUACUCGGAAUUACUGGGCGUAAAGCGUGCGUAGGUGGUUCGUUAAGUCUGCCGUGAAAGCCCCGGGCUCAACCUGGGAAUUGCGGUGGAUACUGGCGGACUAGAGUGCGGUAGAGGGUGGUGGAAUUCCCGGUGUAGCAGUGAAAUGCGUAGAGAUCGGGAGGAACAUCUGUGGCGAAGGCGGUCACCUGGACCAGCACUGACACUGAGGCACGAAAGCGUGGGGAGCAAACAGGAUUAGAAACCCGAGUAGUCC
rnacentral:rRNA from 1 species